CUGCAACGGGAGGAGCGUGCGGUUUAAUUGGAUUCAACGCCGGAAAACUCACCAGGGCCGACUGUUAUAUGAAGACCAGCGUAAUGAGCUUGUCGGAUUUUCAGAGAGGUGGUGCAUGGCCGUCGUCAGUUCGUACUGUAAAGCGUUCUGUUAAGUCAGAUAACGAACGAGACCCUCAUCUUUAUUUGCUACCCCAUUCCCCGGAAUGGGCGCACUAUAGAGAGACCGCUGGUGUGAAACCAGAGGAAGGCGAGGGCAACGACAGGUCAGUAUGCCCCGAAUGUCUUGGGCUACACGCGCGCUACAAAGGACAGGACAAUGGGAUGCUAGGCCGAGAGGCAUUCACGCUAACCCGAAACCUGUUCAUAGUUUGGAUUAAGGGCUGUAACUCGCCCUCAUGAAGCUAGAUUCCGUAGUAAUCGUGUUUCAAUAUAGCACGGUGAAUAUGCCCCUGCUCCUUGCACACACCGCCCGUCAAACCAUCUUAGUUGGGGGUGGGUGAGGCUGCGCUUUAUGGCGUAUUCGAGCCUGCCUUCGACAAGGAGGGUUAAGUCGUAACAAGGUAUCUGUAGGGGAACCUGCAGAUG
rnacentral:rRNA from 1 species